rnacentral:rRNA from 1 species
AUAAGCUAAGUAGAGAUAAAAUUCUUUUAUAUAGUUUGGAAUAUCGAUUGCAAAGGCAAUUUUCUAACAAAUUAACCUUAGUUUUAAUAAACUAAAUAACUGACCCUUUUUAUUGCUAAAGUUUGAGUAGCAAAAAGAAUUAGAGACUCUUGUAGUUCAAACCUUCACCUAUGGCGAU